rnacentral:rRNA from 1 species
AGUGAACGCUGGCGGUAGGCCUAACACAUGCCAGUCGAACGGCAGCACAGUAAGAGCUUGCUCUUACGGGUGGCGAGUGGCGGACGGGUGAGGAAUACAUCGGAAUCUACUUUUUCGUGGGGGAUAACGUAGGGAAACUUACGCUAAUACCGCAUACGACCUACGGGUGAAAGCAGGGGAUCUUUGGACCUUGCGCGAUUGAAUGAGCCGAUGUCGGAUUAGCUAGUUGGCGGGGUAAAGGCCCACCAAGGCGACGAUCCGUAGCUGGUCUGAGAGGAUGAUCAGCCACACUGGAACUGAGACACGGUCCAGACUCCUACGGGAGGCAGCAGUGGGGAAUAUUGGACAAUUGGCGCAAGCCUGAUCCAGCCAUACCGCGUGGGUGAAGAAGGCCUUCGAGUUGUAAAGCCCUUUUGUUGGGAAAGAAAAGCAGCAGGUUAAUACCCCGCUGUUCUGACGGUACCCAAAGAAUAAGCACCGGCUAACUUCGUG